UGGUUGUGCUUUUAGCUAUAGAUGGUUUAAAGCAUAGUCAGGACACUGGGAAUCCAACAAAUAUACAGGGUUGUUUUAAAUUGGUCAAAUUGCUAUAUGUUUUACACAAUCAUGAAUUAAAUGUCUUUUCACAAGGUUUGUGUGUGCGGCAAGUGGACAUGCUGCAAGAUGGGAUUUCUAAGAGCAGCACCGCACUCUCAAGGAUGGCAAAGAAACUUAAAAGCAUGACAAAGCAUCGGAAGCAAAAAGGGCAGCGAACAGGUGGAGCUGAUGUUCUCGUCCACAUGGACUAAAGCAAAUUCUGUCAUAAAAGAAAGUACGCCAGAGGACGCUUUGGAAAACAUGGAGGAGAAAGACGUGGGUAUUUGGAAUGUUGGAAAUACGGGGGAACUCCAGGCGUCCUGUCCUUCGUCUUGUGAAGAGGAGGGACAAGGAUACGUUGGUUCCUAUCAUCAAAAAACCCACCAGACGUCAGAGUAUGGUAGUAAGUGAUGAGCGGAGAGCAGAUUCAAGUCUCUCACAGGAGGGCUACAGGCAUGUGAAGGUCAACCACAGCCAGCAUUACGUAGAUACAGGUCUACACACUCAGAACAUUGAGAGGGCCUGGCAGACUUACAAGAAGGAGGUAUGGCGUUUACGUGGCAACCGAACAGAGAGGUCUCUGAAAAGGCAGCUCUGCUUUAUUGAAUGACACAAACAUGGAAACCUUGGUAGACUUUUCAAGGACAUAAAGAAUAUGAAAUAAUCAGCAUCUGAUUUGUUUUUCAUUGUUUCAAUGUUUUACAUGCUUCCUCAAAGCAAAUGUUGCACAGCCAGUAAAAUGUUGUGGUGUCAGACAUACUAAAAGCUUUACUUGUGUUUCACUUUAGUUGAAUGAGACAUUCAUCUAUAGAAGAUUACUAGACUUUGUAAAUGCACUGAUUAUGUUGAUGACUUGAUAUUGUGAAGUACAUAAGCCAUAAACAGUCAACUAAG